rnacentral:tRNA from 1 species
UUAAUUGAAACCAAUUUAAUGAGGUAAAUCAUUGUUAAUGAUUCCAAAGAAAUAAUAUUUCCAAUUAAA